rnacentral:rRNA from 1 species
GACGAACGCUGGCGGCGUGCUUAACUCAUGCAAGUCGAACGGAAAGGCCCUGCUUGCAGGGUACUCGAGUGGCGAACGGGUGAGUAACACGUGGGUGAUCUGCCCUGCACUUCGGGAUAAGCCUGGGAAACUGGGUCUAAUACCGGAUAGGAGCCAUUUUUAGUGUGAUGGUUGGAAAGUUUUUUCGGUGUAGGAUGAGCUCGCGGCCUAUCAGCUUGUUGGUGGGGUAAUGGCCUACCAAGGCGGCGACGGGUAGCCGGCCUGAGAGGGUGGACGGCCACAUUGGGACUGAGAUACGGCCCAGACUCCUACGGGAGGCAGCAGUGGGGAAGAUUGCACAAUGGGCGCAAGCCUGAUGCAGCGACGCCGCGUGGGGGAUGACGGCCUUCGGGUUGUAAACUCCUUUCGCUAGGGACGAAGCUUUUUGUGACGGUACCUAGAUAAGAAGCACCGGCUAACUACGUG